ACGAUCUACGGAUGAAAGCGGGGGACUCAGCAAUGGGCCUCGCGCGAUUGGAGCGGCCGAUAUCAGAUUAGCUAGUUGGUGGGGUAAAAGCCCACCAAGGCGACGAUCUGUAGCUGGUCUGAGAGGACGACCAGCCACACUGGAACUGAGACACGGUCCAGACUCCUACGGGAGGCAGCAGUGGGGAAUUUUGGACAAUGGGCGAAAGCCUGAUCCAGCAAUGCCGCGUGCAGGAUGAAGGCCUUCGGGUUGUAAACUGCUUUUGUACGGAACGAAACGGUUCGCCUUAAUACGGUGGGCUAAUGACGGUACCGUAAGAAUAAGCACCGGCUAACUACGUGCCAGCAGCCGCGGUAAUACGUAGGGUGCGAGCGUUAAUCGGAAUUACUGGGCGUAAAGCGUGCGCAGGCGGUUAUAUAAGACAGAUGUGAAAUCCCCGGGCUCAAACCUGGGACCUGCAUUUUGUGACUGUAUAGCUUAGAGUACCG
rnacentral:rRNA from 1 species